rnacentral:lncRNA from 1 species
UGAAAUCAGCCACAAAGUCAGCUAGUGCUUGGGAUUUAAUGGCUGUUCUUGGCUCAUAUCUUAUAUCAUGGGCACUAAGCUUUACUGCCCACUUAGCCAUUCUUCCUGACAUCUCUGGUUUCCUGAGGACGACAUUCUUAAUUGGAAAAUUAGUUCUAACAACAAUAGUAUGGGUUUCAAAAUAAUGUCUUAACUUAGUCGAUGCCAUGAUUAAUGCAAGGAUAAGUUUUUCGAGGUGUGAGUACCUGGAUUCGGCAUCAAGUAGACUUUUACUUACAUAGUAGAUAGGAUAUUGUGUACCUUCGUGAUCCUUAACAAGGACAGCACUUACAGCGGUUGAGGAUACCGCCAGAUAUAAGGAUAACACAUCUCCUUUUUCCGGUUUUGCUAAUGCUGGUGCUGAGGACAUAUACUCUUUUAGGGCUUGUAAAGCAUUCUCAUGCUUCUCAGUCCAUUCGAACUUCUUAUUCUUCCUUAGGAUAUCGUAGAAUUCUUUGCAUUUUUCUGAGGAUUUCGAUAUGAACCUGUUCAAAGCUGCUAUCCUGCCUGUCAGUCUUUGAACAUCCUUGGCAUUGGCAGGAGAUUUGAUAUUUAUUAAUGCUUUGAUUUGUUCCGGGCUUGCUUCAAUGCCCCUCUGGGUUACCAUGUAUCCUAAGAACUUUCCUGCCUUAACACCAAAAUGGCAUUUUGAAGGAUUAAGUUUCAUGUUGUAACUAUCAAGGAUAUCGAAUGCUUCUUCCAAGUCCCUUAGGUGAUCCU